rnacentral:lncRNA from 1 species
GAUGAGCUAAGAAGAGCCAGUGAGAUUAAAGUAGACUGUGAGCCUUUGGCGGACUUCUCACAAGAACAGGAACUUGAGGAGGCAGAGUGGUGAUGAAAACCGAUCAUUUGAUCUAUCACAAUAUGUUCACUAAAUAUCGAUUGAGUGUCCACUGAUGCAUGGCACUGGAAAACCAUUCCAAAAAGAUAGAGCCAUUAACAAAAAGGGGCCUUACCUGUUCAAUACGUAUGCUAAUUAAUGGUCACAGCUGCAGCCUGGACAUCCUCCUAAAGAAUGCAGAAGGACCUGGAACCUAACCGAGCUUCGGGGAAGACACAGCCUGACUGAUACUUUGGUAGACUGGUUCCUGAUGACUAUCACACAACUCUAGUCCUCAAGCCAUCUAUGAUCUGGAAAUCAUGAAAACAAGCCUGGAACUUUCUUCAGAAUUCCCAAAUUGUGUUUCAUAAAACUCUAGUGUCUUACAAAAUGUACAUGGUGUGCCACACGCCAAAAACGUUUAUAGGAAAAAAACCUAGGUGAAAACAGUAGUCCUCUCUUACAGAUGCCCAGCAAAAAAUAGCAUACUGAACUUCAGAAAAGUUCUACAGUAAAGAUAUGCCUUUAACCCAUAAUAUCCUAAUUUUAAGUGACCACCCUCUCUCCAAGGCACCAAUUAACAGCUUUAGUGGGCUAAGUCCAAGGAGCACAGCUUGAGAAAUUCUGCUGAAUAAUAUUAUUGAUGACUAGUCAAAAGCCAGAAAACUCAUUUUAACUUGCUCACCCUUGUCAUUAGAGAAUGGCCCAUCCCAGCCAACUUCAAUGAAGGGACAAAGCCUAAAAGCUGUGGGGGAAGUUUUAAAGUAAGUUUUGAAGUGAAAUGUUAAAGUACAGAUUGUAGUUUAAAGUGUAUUCAGGAUUAUGGGUAUGUGUGCUGUUGAAUUUUUCUUAUAACUUUAAAAUAUUACCUGUAAAUAUAGUAUCUAAUAUGUUAACCAGCAAGACAUCUGCUCUGUAUGGCAAAAAUUAUACAACUGAAUUCACUGUUUUCUCAUUCUGUAAUCUAAAAAUAAAUAAGGAAGACAGUAUAAAAGCGAGGAGAUC